GACGAACGCUGGCGGCGUGCUUAACACAUGCAAGUCGAACAGAAAGGCCCUGCUUUUGUGGGGUGCUCGAGUGGCGAACGGGUGAGUAACACGUGAGUAACCUGCCCUUGACUUUGGGAUAACUUCAGGAAACUGGGGCUAAUACCGGAUAGGAGCUCCUGCUGCAUGGUGGGGGUUGGAAAGUUUCGGCGGUUGGGGAUGGACUCGCGGCUUAUCAGCUUGUUGGUGGGGUAGUGGCUUACCAAGGCUUUGACGGGUAGCCGGCCUGAGAGGGUUACCGGCCACAUUGGGACUGAGAUACGGCCCAGACUCCUACGGGAGGCAGCAGUGGGGAAUAUUGCACAAUGGGCGGAAGCCUGAUGCAGCAACGCCGCGUGCGGGAUGACGGCCUUCGGGUUGUAAACCGCUUUCGCCUGUGACGAAGCGUGAGUGACGGUAAUGGGUAAAGAAGCACCGGCUAACUACGUG
rnacentral:rRNA from 1 species